CCUACGGGUGGCAGCAGUGAGGAAUAUUGGUCAAUGGCCGGAAGGCUGAACCAGCCAAGCCGCGUGAAGGACGAAGGUGCCAAGCAUUGUAAACUUCUUUUGUCAAGGGACAAAAUCAGGCUCGAGAGCCUGACCGAGGGUACUUGAAGAAAAAGCAUCGGCUAACUCCGUGCCAGCAGCCGCGGUAAUAAGGAGGAUGCGAGCGUUAUCCGGAUUUAUGGGGUUUAAAGGGUGCGUAGGCGGGCUGUUAAGUCAGCGGUAAAAGCCCGGGGCUCAACCCCGGCGAGCCGUUGAAACUGGCUGUCUUGAGAUGUCGAGAGGUAUGCGGAAUGCGCAGUGUAGCGGUGAAAUGCUUAGAUAUUGCGCAGAACUCCGAUUGCGAAGGCAGCAUACCGGCAGCGAUCUGACGCUGAGGCACGAAAGCGUGGGUAUCGAACAGGAUUAGAUACCCCAGUAGUC
rnacentral:rRNA from 1 species